UAGAAAUACAGGUAUAAGUACACUGUUUAAACAUCUGAACUGUGAUUAAAGCAAUUAAGCGUAUGUUAAGUACGUCGCACUCAGAUGGAGAAGCACCGUUAGGUGCUUUUUUUGUAAUCUU
ncrna:unclassified sequences DTF3800-I RNA